CCCAAUUUGAUUUCUUAUCUGCUAUAUUGCAUUUGUUCUCCCAAAUGGGUCAGCGUGCCUUCUGUGUCAAAAUUUGGAGAUGUAGUUCUGAAAACCAGUGAACAAGGAGAAAUUUGGAGAUGUAGUUCUAAAAACCAGUGAACAAGAAGCACAUGGGAGCCGCUCAAUGCUCUACUAUUGAAAGUUGGUGUGGUUGUUUGUCAGUAAAACUUAUCUGUAGUCAAGUCAUACCCAGCCCGUUGACCAUCAUCCGAAUGCUUCUGAUAAUAACCAAGUGUUUUCUAUUGAAUAUGUUACAAUCCAUUCUGAAGCAAACUGAGUUACUAGCAGUUUAAGAAGAUGUUAUACACCUGACUGACGAAGAUCUUUUUUAUAUCCACAAGGCAUUUCAUGACGAUCCAAGUAUAUUGCUGAUCAAAUAGAAAAUAUGUAAUUUUCUGUUUCGGUAAUAAACGGGCAAUUCAACGUAUAGUUGGGGCAGCCUGAUUUCCUCUUACACAUGCCUGCUAGCAGCAGCAGUUACGACCAGGCGGUUGCGGCCUGACUUGGCGGCUCUUCCUUUUUGUUUUGUGUUUGAAUCAGAUUUGGCGGUCUCGAUUUUACAGGCAUGUGUUGAUCUUGGUCUUGUUCUGUAUGCAGGUAGGGUACACUUGAUGUUUCAUGUUUGGUGAAAGAAAAGGAGCUUCCUAUGUUGAUUUCGGGCAAGACAUACAUUCUGCCAUGCAUUAGUAGAUCAAUUGCUUCUCUGUGUAGGGGAACGAUUAGCGAUUGAAUCUCUCUGUCUCGUUUCUUGAUUAUCCAAUUAAUUUACCCUCAUCUAUGCAUAAAUUGGUCCGAUUGAGUUAUGCCAUUUUUCUAAUAAUCUAUAUUGGUUCUAUAUAUGACUAGAACAAUAUGAUACGAUGCACAUCGGUCCGCUUUACUGGCAGCUAUCUUUCAAGAUGGAGGGGAGGCACUCGUGUGGACCUGCUCAAUGUUCGAGGAGAUACGGCUGACUAAACAAGGUUAUUUUGAAGUUCUUUGUGGUUCAUGUUAGCUAUCUAUCAGUAAUAGUACAACCUUGAUUUUUAUGUCGUUCAGGUUUACCUAACAUUCAGUAACAUUACUUUCCAUUGGAGACUUCUUACAGGAGGUGCUUAUAAAAUGAUGGUUGAACAUGUACAGAUUUUGGAUCACGAUCAUCUAUUUACCAGGCAUCAGUUAACUCAAGGCAUCGAUCAAAAUCUAGCAUUCUUUGUUGUGUGCACCAUGGAGAAGACAAAGAACAGAGAUUGUGUGAUAUAUCCGAUAGCGCAAUAUAAUUUUCUCUUGCAUAUUUAUAAUCUGCCAUUUGAAUGAUGUUUUCUAUGUUGUAGUCAAAUCAAGACAAUUUGCAACUUUGGUGUUGUGACGUUGGAGGCCGUGCUCAACAGCAAUGGGGGACUGUUCGUUGAUGCCCGACCCAUGAUGCCGGCGAAGGAAUGAGAGUCGACGAGGAGUGGACACCAUGGGUUUGUGAACUGGCGAAGCCUCCGUUGUCCGUUUGGUAAUGUCCGACGCAUCAGAGGCAUAGUAUGACUUGCCCCGAUUAUGAUGUCGUCUACAAACAUCCGACGGAGGGGAACCCGUCCCAGUUUCCAUCUUGAUGUGAUAUUAUCAACCUUCAACGAGCAGUGACAACGAACUCCAUCCCCCCACACCACCACACCCAAAUGGCGUAGGAUAGACUGAUGUUUCAUGUGAUGUGCUUUAAGCCAUGUUUCAGCUUGUCUUGACCCAGCAUGUAUUUUUAGUUUCAGUUGUUGAGCUCUGCACUAUAAAACCGAGAAAUACCCAAGGCUUUUUACAGACUACAAAUAGAGGGAAGUUUGCAUGUGCCUUACUAGAGACAGAUGAACCAAUAAAAUGAUUGGAAAGGUUCUUCCCAAGCAAAAGAUUACCUAUGAUGAAAAUUACAUUCUCUGCGGGCGCUGAUUCAGAUAUAUUACUAUGGGCAAAGGAAGUUCAAAAUUUAUCUCAAUCAAACAUGUGCAAAGGAAAAUUCAAAAUUUGUUAUGUCAGGAAAAGAUUCUUAAACCAGUGAAGUAUCUAGAGGGCUUAUUAGGACACUGCUCAUAUUGUUUGAUACUUUACCAUCUGGGGAUUAGGCUACCGGUGAACACGACAAUGCGGCUGUUGGUCACGGAUGCCGGGGGCGUGAGCGGGGUUGAGGAGCUCACAUGGUGCUAUACAUGACGACCUGCGAGUGGUGGCAGGAGGUGGCAUGCCUGCUGCUUGGCUGGAAGUCCGACAUGAACUCCCACGACCGAGUGUAAGCAUGGUUGUGAAGACCUUCCAGCAUUACCCCAGGAAGCUAACACAUCAGCUUGUGCCAUACGUGGUGUUUUCUUGUUGAUGAAUGUUGGUCUAGGUAAUUUCUUUGAUGAACCAUGUGACAAUUAAUAAAGUUAAUAAAGGACAGCAUACUCUUUUUGUCCGCCUUGAUCGCAGUGGGGCGGGGGUGAGGCGUUGGAGAGAGGCGGGGCAGUGGUGCAUGCGUGCAGUGCGUCUGGACGACAGAAUGCAUGAUCGAGUGAUCGGUGUGGUGGUUGGCGGUGCUUGGGCAUUGAUGUUCGAUUUGAGAGGAAGAAGAAAGAUUAGCUGCUGAUUUUGGGGGGAAGAAGAGAGAUUGAGCGUGUUGUUGUUGUCGUGUGUGGUCUUGGGAGAGGAAUAAAAGAGAGUAGUAAAGAGCUGUAGAGAGAUAGCGAGGGAUUGAGAGGCUACUACUAUUUUUUAUUGUUGUCGAUGCUUGCACAAUGCUAUUUCUUAUUA